UUGUAAACUCAUAGCUUUAUCCUGCGGUUUUCACACGGAGAAAAAUCGAAAUGAACUCCAAGCAAACCUAAACGCGUCACUACAAACCACGUGAGAAUGUUCAGCUCGCUGAUUGGAUGAUGUAAAUACAGGAAGCAGUUUCUUAUCCUGACAGCUUUCCAGCUGUCUCGACCUGUUCCUCCUUCCUCCCGGCGACACAGUAAGAGGGAGAGCAUAAUUAUUGAAUUGCUUUCAGCUGCCCUGCCAGCCUCCCUGGCACUGCCCCUCAAGCCACCUCCCUGCACCAAUGACUGAAAAUCACCCAUCCCCAGACAGCCCACUUCUCCCAGCUCAGUGUGCCAGUGGUUCCUCCAGUUUACACCUGUACUUAAUCAGAACAGCAAUGGCACACACCUCAGACAGAUGAACACUUUCUUCAGAAGAAUGAUUAGCCCUCUUCCUGACCUGUCAGUGCUUCAGGUAGCAGAGGCAUACAGUGACUUUGACCUGCUACAUAUGCCACCAGUGAAAACAAUGGGCAUGAGUAUGGAGAAACCACUUGUCAGAUCUAAAUUUGGACUAGUGCAGACAGGAAACGUAUUGUCCUACAAGCAGCCUGGCAGGUACAAGGCCAGCUUCAUGUUACUGGUCUUCAGUGGUAUGACUCCUUUGUGCAGAGCCUGGACUCAGACAUGGAAGUUCAAAAAAAAUGAUUAAACAAAAGUGUGAUCACUUCUGUUUUAACACUUACUUAUCAAAAUACCUCUCAAAGAGACAUGCACAAAAAAUGUGUGAGCCUAUCCUUCUAUAAGCAUAAGUACGUGUUUCAUGAAAUGUUAAAAGAACAUGCUAGCACAUUUGCACACCUCAACUGAAAUUAUGUAAAGUAAUCAGCCAGUUAUUAUUUGUGUUGAGUUAUUUAUCAAAGUGCAUUUCAAGCCUAUACAAGUCAAUUUUUAACAGCAUUCAUGAAAAAAACCCAAUAACAUUCUGAAUGUAGAAAAAAUGUUAGAAGAAUUUUUUGAAAUUUACAUAAAUAUUUCUUUCCAGUAAAAUAAUAAGUUAUGUAUAUAAGGGAAACCAACCU